rnacentral:rRNA from 1 species
GAAUUUUCCGCAAUGGGCGAAAGCCUGACGGAGCAAUACCGCGUGAGGGAUGACUGCCUAUGGGUUGUAAACCUCUUUUUUCAGGGAGGAAUAAAUGACGUGUACCUGAAGAAUAAGCAUCGGCUAACUCCGUGCCAGCAGCCGCGGUAAGACGGAGGAUGCAAGUGUUAUCCGGAAUCACUGGGCGUAAAGCGUCUGUAGGUGGUUUAAUAAGUCAACUGUUAAAUCUUGAGGCUCAACCUCAAAAUCGCAGUCGAAACUAUUAGACUAGAGUAUAGUAGGGGUAAAGGGAAUUUCCAGUGGAGCGGUGAAAUGCGUAGAGAUUGGAAAGAACACCGAUGGCGAAGGCACUUUACUGGGCUAUUACUAACACUGAGAGACGAAAGCUAGGGUAGCAAAUGGGAUUAGAUACCCCAGUAGUC